CCCCUGGGCCUUGGGUUUGACACCUAUGCUCUAAAGUGUCUGUAAACAUUUCUUUGUGCGCGUAAAUACAUGCUGACAACGUAAGUAUGUUGACAACAACGAGCAAGGGAGGCUAUUGGUUGACGUCAAUUGAUAGGUCACACUACAGGGAAGAUUUCCCCCCAAAAUCAAAUCACUAACAUCCCUAUUUUCGCAUUAAGGUUUAAGGUUUAUAAGUAAAGGGCGCAAUUAUGAUGCUUGACAUCUAUAUAUUCUAUUACAUAAUACAGUACGUAAUCUAUUACUGUACUAUAAUUUAGUUAAUAGAAACAAACUAACAUUAUUUCACCAAUGUCUGUCGGCAGGAAGCCGGAGCGCCAAGCAGCAGCGUCAAAGUUAACGUGACAUGUUCGAUUCAAAAGAAUGACGAACAAGGGCGACACCACAUCUUCACCGUGGACAGAGCGGCCGCCUACUUGAUCUACGGCUGGCUGGUCUUCUCGCCAGCUGGAACCGGCGGGCUCCAGGAGGAUGAUAAGGUCGGGAUGGUGGUCCUCAAGCAGACGUUGAACCGGAGCGAGAUGAACAUUCAGACGAAGCCCAGAACGUCCGAGGUCUUCUUCUUUGUGAAGGUGAAGAUGGCGGACUACAGCACGUUGAGUGUCCACUUCAGCGGCCAGCACGCCGACAGCUCCUUCCACAUCUAUGAACUUUAACAGCCACCCAUGCUUUGGACUUUAUAUGAAAGUGCAAACAAAAACGGAUUGUCGACUGUCCGCGUGUCGAAGAGUCUUUAGGCAAGACGCUGAACCUGAAUUUGCUCCCAGUGGGCCUGGCAGCGCCUUGGAUGGCGGCAGCCGCCCAUUGGUGUGUGAAUGGGAGGCUUUGUAAAGCGCUUCGGGCCCUGUGAUGGUGUCGAUAAAACGCUACACAAACGCAGUCCAUUUACCGUAAUCCAAUCUGCUUGUCAAUGUUUCAAAAUCUAUAUUUCUUUUAUAUUCAUUCUAUCCUCCUAAUAUUAACAUUAGCUGUAAAAAGGCUGAUUGUGAUUACAGUGUUCAAAAACAAGCUGUUUUAAUGUAUUUUGUAAAUAUGUUUUUCGCAGUUAAAAACACUAGCUCUAACCGUAACUACGAAACCCUGAUUCAAACCUGAAUCACAUAACCCAAACCCUAACCUUGGAGUUGGGAUGUUUCUGAUUCAAUUUGUAUAUUUAAGUCAAACACAAUGUGCGGAAACCUUGGAAUCAUCAUCAAUUCAUAUCCUCAUUAUUAAUCAGUACAGGCAAUGUUUUAAGUAAGGUUCUAAACUGUAAAUGCAAGUACGUUGAAGAAAAUAAAUCACUACACUUUCA